rnacentral:rRNA from 1 species
UACCAGCACCCCGAGUGGUCGGGACGUUUUAUUGGGCCUAAAGCAUCCGUAGCCGGUUCUACGAGUCUUCCGUUAAAUCCAACUGCUUAACAGGUGGGCUGCGGAAGAUACUAUAGAGCUAGGAGGCGGGAGAGGCAAGCGGUACUCGAUGGGUAGGGGUAAAAUCCGUUGAUCCAUUGAAGACCACCAGUGGCGAAGGCGGCUCACUGGCCCGAUACUGACGCUGAGGUGCGAAAGCGUGGGGAGCAAACAGG